rnacentral:rRNA from 1 species
GAUGAACGCUGGCGGCGUGCUUAACACAUGCAAGUCGAGCGAAGCACUUGGAACCGAUCCUUCGGGUGAAGUUCCAUUUGACUGAGCGGCGGACGGGUGAGUAACGCGUGGGUAACCUGCCUCAUACAGGGGAAUAACAGUUUGAAAAGACUGCUAAUGCCGCAUAAGCGCACAGGGCCGCAUGGCCCGGUGUGAAAAACUCCGGUGGUAUGAGAUGGACCCGCGUCUGAUUAGCUAGUUGGUGAGGUAACGGCCCACCAAGGCGACGAUCAGUAGCCGACCUGAGAGGGUGACCGGCCACAUUGGGACUGAGAUACGGCCCAGACUCCUACGGGAGGCAGCAGUAAGGAAUCUUCCACAAUGGACGAAAGUCUGAUGGAGCAACGCCGCGUGCAGGAUGACGGCCUUCGGGUUGUAAACUGCUUUUAUACGGGAAGAUUAUGACGGUACCGUAUGAAUAAGGACCGGCUAACUACGUGCCAGCCGCCGCAGUAA